GGAUGUGAGGGUGAUCUGGCUGCAGCAUCUGUCACCCCAUUGAUCUCCAGGGUUGAUUCAGCUGAUCUGGCUGGCCAGGUGGGUGUCCCCUUCCUCCCUCACUGCUCUAUGUGUGUCCUCCCAAAGCUGUGCGCUCAGUCAAAGAGGACAACCACCCCCGAUAGACGAGGACCAGUCUUCGGUCAAGGGCAUACGAGUAGCUGCACUCCCCUGCUAGACCCUCCCAACGAGCUCUCAAGACUGCUGUCUGCCAAUCUGUAUCCAGAGUUGGAAAAAAGGGAGGAAAAAAAAAAAAAAACUAGUCCCAGAGUGUUCCUUACCAAGUUAUAAAUUAGUUUUCAUUU
rnacentral:snRNA from 1 species